rnacentral:pre_miRNA from 1 species
CUCGGGAGGAGGGGCGUCCCCUCAGCCCAGAUAGUGAGAGGGCACAGGCCAGGCUGAGGGAUCCCACCAGUGCACA